rnacentral:rRNA from 1 species
GAUGAACGCUGGCGGCGUGCUUAACACAUGCAAGUCGAACGGAGAAGCGCCUUCCUUUCUGGUCGGUGUGGAGGAGCGGCGAACGGGUGAGUAACACGUUAGUAACCUGCUCCCUCUUUCUGGAUAACCGCAUGAAAGAGUGGCUACUACGGGAUAUUCUGGGCCUGUUGCAUGAUGGGUCUGGGACAGAUAUUGUUUCGGUUGGGGAUGGGCUCGCGGCCUAUCAGCUUGUUGGUGGGGUGAUGGCCUACCAAGGCGGUGACGGGUAGCCGGCCUGAGAGGGUGGGCGGUCACAGAGGGGAGGAGACGCGGAGAAGACUCCGGCGGGAGGCAGCAGGGAAGAAUAUGGAACAGGGGGAGGAAGGCUGAAGCAGCGACGCGGCGGGGAGGAAGGUGGCCGGCGGGUUGUGAACCUCUUUCGGGAAUGAAGCAGGGCGGCCUCAUUUGUGGGUGGGUUGACGGUAGCUAGAGAAGAAGCGCCGGCUAACUACGUG